UACUCUGCCAAUGUUUUAGGUGCUUCUAGAAAAAGUGAAACUGGGAAGUUAGUUCGAAUCAAGCUAACACUGCCCCCGCAACGGUGAAUAACGAAAUAUUCGUUUAAGUCCGGAGACCGGCCUAAAACAUCCUUAAUUA
rnacentral:ncRNA from 2 species